UACGGAGGAUGCGAGCGUUAUCCGGAUUUAUUGGGUUUAAAGGGUGCGUAGGCGGGCUUUUAAGUCAGCGGUAAAAGUUCGGGGCUCAACCCCGUCCGGCCGUUGAAACUGGGGGCCUUGAGUGGGCGAGAAGAAGGCGGAAUGCGUGGUGUAGCGGUGAAAUGCAUAGAUAUCGCGCAGAACCCCGAUUGCGAAGGCAGCCUUCCGGCGCCCUACUGACGCUGAGGCACGAAAGUGCGGGGAUCGAACAGG
rnacentral:rRNA from 1 species